rnacentral:rRNA from 1 species
UACGUAGGGUGCGAGCGUUGUCCGGAAUUAUUGGGCGUAAAGAGCUCGUAGGCGGUGUGUCGCGUCGGCCGUGAAAACCUGCAGCUUAACUGUGGGCUUGCGGUCGAUACGGGCAUCACUGGAGUUCGGCAGGGGAGACUGGAAUUCCUGGUGUAGCGGUGAAAUGCGCAGAUAUCAGGAGGAACACCGGUGGCGAAGGCGGAUCUCUGGGCCAUUACUGACGCUGGAGGAGCGAAAAGCGUGGGGAGCGAACAGG